rnacentral:rRNA from 1 species
AAAGUUUGAUCAUGGCUAAGUCUUAACAAAUGUAAGUCGAAGCCAGGUAUUAGAGUUUGAUCAUGGUCUUCUCCUAUGAGGUAAAGAGUAAUGAGGAAUGAGAGUUAGAUCGUAUAAUGGACUGGGACAGGUAAUGGGAAAAGUGGCUAAUAGUUAAUAAGAUUUAAGUGAAAAGGUGAAUUCUGACAUUUGAUGGGCUCGCGUUUUAUAAGCUAGUUGGUGAGGUAACGGCUUACCAAGGCAACGAUCUGUAGCUGGUUUGAGAGGACGACCAGCCACACUGGGACUGAGACACGGCCCAGACUCCUACGGGAGGCAGCAGUGAGGAAUUUUCCGCAAUGGGCGAAAGCCUGACGGAGUAAUACCGCGUGCGGGAGGAAGGUCUAUUGACUGUAAACCGCUUUUAGGGAGAAAGAAUUUUGACGGUACUUGAUGAAUAAGCCUCGGCUAACUCCGUGCCAGCAGCCGCGGUAAUACGGAGGAGGCAAGCGUUAUCCGGAAUUAUUGGGCGUAAAGCGUCCGUAGAUGGUUUUGUCAGUCUGCUGUCAAAGCACAGGGCUUAACCCUGUAAAGGCAGUGGAAACUACAAGACUAGAGUGCAGUAGGGGCAGAGGGAAUUCCCAGUGUAGCGGUGAAAUGCGUAGAGAUUGGGAA